rnacentral:tmRNA from 1 species
CUCUUGCUGCUUAAUCGAAGUAUAGUAGAUUAGCUUAAUCCCUGCACCAGGUGCGGGGACGAGACAUCACCCGGACGCUGUUGUUCCGAAGCAAUCCGAUAUGGUGGUGCAGGCAAAUCGGGACUAACCAUUGCAGGCCUCGAUGCAAUGGCGACAUUUUAGAGGAUAAGGCGCUGGUUGGCGGUCGCGGUCUUGCCUACGCCCGAAAAUCCCACCGAUGACUAAGCGUGUAGAAAGCAUAUGGUUUCCCUGUUUGGACGAGGGUUCGACUCCCUCUAGCUCCACAA